rnacentral:rRNA from 1 species
GACGAACGCUGGCGGCGUGCUUAACACAUGCAAGUCGAACGGAAAGGCCCUGCUUUUGUGGGGUGCUCGAGUGGCGAACGGGUGAGUAACACGUGAGUAACCUGCCCUUGACUUUGGGAUAACUUCAGGAAACUGGGGCUAAUACCGGAUAGGAGCUCCUGCUGCAUGGUGGGGGUUGGAAAGUUUCGUCGGUGGGGGAUGGACUCGGGGCUUAUUAGCUUGUUGGUGGGGUAGUGGCUUACCAAGGCUUUGAUGGGUAGCCGGCCUGAGAGGGUAGCCGGCGACAAUGGGACUGAGAUACGGAGCAGACUCCUACGGGAGGCAGCAGGGGGGAGUAUUGCACAAUGGGCGGAAGCCUGAUGCAGAAGCGCCGCGUUCGGGAUGACGGUCUUCGGGUUGUAAACCGCUGUCGCCUGUGACGAAGCGUGAGUGACGGUAAUGGGUGAAGAAGCACCGGCUAACUACGUG